rnacentral:rRNA from 1 species
UACGUAGGGUGCAAGCGUUAUCCGGAAUUAUUGGGCGUAAAGAGCUCGUAGGCGGUUUGUCGCGCCUGCUGUGAAAACUGGAGGCUCAACCUCCAGCCUGCAGUGGGUACGGGCAGACGUAGAGUGCGGUAGGGGAGAAUUGGAAUUCCUGGUGUAGCGGUGGAAUGCGCAGAUAUCAGGAGGAACACCGAGUGGCGAAGGCAGAUCUCUGGGCCGUUACUGACGCUGGAGGAGCGGAAAGCGUGGGGAGCGAACAGG